UACGAAGGGGGCUAGCGUUGUUGGGAUUUACUGGGCGUAAAGGGCGCGUAGGCGGAUUUUUAAGUCAGGGGUGAAAUCCCGGAGCUCAACUCCGGUACUGCCUUCGAUACUGAAAGUCUGGAGCACGGUAGAGGUGAGUGGAAUUCCGAGUGUAGAGGUGAAAUUCGUAGAUAUUCGGAGGAACACCAGUGGCGAAGGCGGCUCACUGGACCGUUGCUGACGCUGAGGCGCGAAAGCGUGGGGAGCAAACAUG
rnacentral:rRNA from 1 species